rnacentral:rRNA from 1 species
UACGUAGGGGGCAAGCGUUGUCCGGAAUUAUUGGGCGUAAAGAGCGUGUAGGCGGUUCGGUAAGUCAGCUGUGAAAGUCAAGGGCUCAACCCUUGAAUGCCGGUUGAUACUGUCGGGCUAGAGUCCGGAAGAGGCGAGUGGAAUUCCCGGUGUAGCGGUGAAAUGCGCAGAUAUCGGGAGGAACACCAAUGGCGAAGGCAGCUCGCUGGGACGGUACUGACGCUGAGACGCGAAAGCGUGGGGAGCA